ACUUAUUAAAUAAGAUCUUUCAGAUGAGAGCCACAGCCCUUCUUGUCUCCUAACUGUUCCUCCCAUGUCUGAGCUUAGAAACAUUUUCAAGACUGGAAGGAGUUCACUGUCCCUCACAAAAAGCAAAGUACUGGCCCUGUUACAGCUGUUUUCUCAGCAUCCAGGACCUGUUUAUGAUCUCAGUAUUCCAUGACCUGUGCCUUCUAUACUGAUCUAUGUCUGGCCUUAUCGCAUAGGAAAAGAAUUCAAAACAUAGUGCUUUAAUUCUAAAGAUAUUUCAACAUUAUUCUAAGCAUUCUUUAAGUUUUAAAAAAAUUGCUUUCAGACUUUGUAAUUCAAUAUUCCAAUUUAAAGCACUCAAGUUUCCCAGUAUCAUCCAAUGCAUACUUGCAAGUCAUCUUAUUUUCAGUGAUAAAAGAGCAAAAAGCAAUGUCAAUUUGAAAUGGGGAAAACAAGCUUCAGUGCCAUUUUCUUUCUGCUUCUCCCCACCACCCAUAUCUCUCGCUGCAGGGGUAUUUUAUUGCCCUGUUUUGAUACUUGGACUAAAGGUUGUGCCACUCCUGUGCUGGGGCCUGCUCCUGGGAAGUGACUACGGAAUAUGCCUGCCUUCAGGAGCUCCAGAACAGGGGAGCGGAAUGCUGCGACUUCGGCUAUAAGUGGGGGAUACACCCUCGAAGCGCGCAGCCGGCCACCCCCUCUCGGGCCUCGCUCUCUGGAAGCUUACGCCAGGCAGCCAACGGGCUCGGUACGGGUGCAGGGCACGGCAGGGACUCGCGGGGCGGGCGUCGAUGCCUCUCCAGCUGCCCGGCCAGGGCUGAAGACGCACUCGCAGCUCUUCCCCGAGAAAGUGCUUCCUCACGCGACCUUUAUGGGGUGGUGAGGGGCGGGCGCUGCGCGGAUGCGAGAGUAAGUACGCAACCCCCCCCCAGCCUAGUGUGCAUGUGCUGGUGCCCCAAACUGAGGGAGGGGGCGCAGGCGGUUCGCGCCUGACACCGGAGCGGCCGCCUAGCAGGCUCCCCGCCAUCAGGUGGCAGCUGUCUCGGCCGUGCUGGCGCCUCCUGCGCCCCGCCCCCCCCAGGCCCCUCCAUGGGCGCUGGGAGAGGCAGGAGCCUCGGCCUGAUCGUCCGGAGCGGCAGGGUCAGAAGGAGACAGGCGGACAGGACUCACAGCCCUCAGCCAGCUGCAAGAGGACGUAGGGAGGCGCAGAGAGGGUGGCCGCCAUCUUGGUUCCGUUGUUUCUGUAGUGCUAGCGGUUCCGAAUAUAAAGGACCCGACUGACCUCUGGGGGCAGCCGGAUGUCAGCUCGCUUGGCCGCUUGCAUCGCCAUGGCGCCGAUCGGAGGGGGGGGAUGGUGCCGCCUCGGAGAGAAACCGCGGCCGGGAAGGGGCCUGCCGGGCUGCGCCGCCGCUCGCCGCUGCCGCGGGGGACCCGGAUACUAUCCCAUACGCUAAUAACCCGGGUAAUGCCUUUUUACAAUCUAUGUCCCGAACGCUCCGCUUUUCUAAAAAGCAUAUGAGCGAAUCGUACGUCGCUUGUCUCUCCGUACCGUCGUCAGCGCUGUUGCAGCCUUUGCGAGACUUCGGCGACGCGUGGCCGGCGGGACCCUCUGUAGGUGCUCCCGGGCGCGGGGACUGUGCCCUUCCGCCUCCUGCGCUGCUUUCAGGACCGGUACCCGAAUCUCCGUCGAACCGUGGCUCGCAGGUUCAGCCCUCUCUAGGGUCCCUGUUCGGGCGCCAUUUGUCGCGACGGAGGGAAGACACAGUCACUCAAUAUGAGUGAUCAGCAGACUUCGUUUAUUGUACCUUACAGUCACCUUUUAUGCCUUCUUAUAAUUAGCUCAUACAUAUUACAAAAGUUAAGCUCAUUAUUGGUUAGUUGCCUAAAUACCAAGCCCGCCCCUAGUUUCUCUUCUGUAGUUAUCUGUUCCCACCUGCAACAUUCUUUUCCCACCGAAAUCUUCCUGUUAUUGUGUAACUUUUGCUUUACUUCAGAUAAGCUGAGAGCGAUGUGCAUUUUUGUCCAGCCAGCUGGACUAUGUCUAUGAGACCUUUUUCAGCUAGCCAGUUAUCCACAUUCCUCCUCUUUUUUUUUUUUUUUGUUUGUGCCCAUAGAAAUAAUUAUACCCAUCAUUAAAAGAAACGUGGAAGCUAAAGUUUGGUACCAACUUUCUGAGACUGAAAUCACACCUGCAAAAGGGAUGGGAAUGUAGGUGCACCACUAACAUCACUGCGGGUAACCUUAGGUAACCACCUCAUGGUUCCUUCUCUGGAUGGGAAUUAAAAAUGUGGCACUUUUUUGCAAAGAUUUUAAUUUUUAAGGCAAAAAGUCAGAUGCUCGGUCAUGUUCUAGUUGCACAAGGAACAAACAAGGCAGUCACAGCUACAAGAGAUCCAGUUACAGUUCUGGGUAGCCUGGGUCUCUUUUGAUAAAAGAAAAAGGAACAAACAAGUGGUAAUGCCAGAGAAAAGAGAAUGGAAACAAGCUGAGAGGAUGCAGAAGAAAACACAACGAGCGCAGGAAUGAGAACAUUAUAUGGAGAAAAGUAAUCGGAGUUUGAUAAACACUAACAAGGAACACACAAAUGUACAAAGCCAAGGCAAAUUACAGGCAGAGCUGGAUGUUCUCAUCUCUGACCGGCCUGCAAUACUGUUGCUUUCCUUACUGCAAUAUAAUUAAUAAUUAGCAUGGCAUUCUCCUGGGCAAAGACUUCCAGAGAAUUCAAUACUUGCUGCUGGAAAGACACUGAUGUGUAAAAACAGUUGAAAAGUAUAUAGCUUAUAAAAUAUCCGAGAAAUCAAGCAGCUUAACCCCCAAACCCUGGCCGCGUGCUCAUGGUUAGGUUCCUCACAGGCAUAUUUACCCACCAAAAGGUGAAGCAAUUGCAUCACUGUCAGUGGAGCAUGCAAGAACUCAGUGUGACCCAAAACUGGCUUGUUUUAUGGUACCCAUCUUCUGGUUCCUGCAGCGGAACAUUCUAAGUGUUCAUCCUUUUAAUUUGACAUUAAAUUAAUUUUCAUUUUUAUAACAAUAAAGAACUGGAUAAAAAAGUUCUAUUAUGAAUGAAUGCAAAUCUCCAUCCUCUAAACAUUAACAAUUCUUAGGAGAAAAAGAGAAGAAUGUCCAUGUAUCAUUUGUGUUAACUUUGUGUAAACAUCCCUCAUGGCUUGUACUGUAUAAUAAAAACCGAGACAAAAUUA